AGUCAUAGAAAAUCUCCAUUCCAUGAAUUUCUCUACUGUUUUCGACCUAAUCUGAAGCUACAUGACGUUUGGAGGUGUGUAGUGAUGAACUGUGAAGCUACAUGAAGUUUGGAGGUGUGUAGUGAUGAACUCUGAAGCUUCAUGAAGUUUGGAGGUGUGUAGUGAUGAACUGUGAAGCUACAUGAAGUUUGGAGGUGUGUAGUGAUGAACUCUGAAGCUACAUGAAGUUUGGAGGUGUGUAGUGAUGAUGAACUCUGAAGCUACAUGAAGUUUGGAGGUGUGUAGUGAUGAUGAACUCUGAAGCUACAUGAAGUUUGGAGGUGUGUAGUGAUGAUGAACUCUGAAGCUACAUGAAGUUUGGAGGUGUGUAGUGAUGAUGAACUCUGAAGCUACAUGAAGUUUGGAGGUGUGUAGUGAUGAACUCUGAAGCUACAUGAAGUUUGGAGGUGUGUAGUGAUGAACUCUGAAGCUUCAUGAAGUUUGGAGGUGUGUAGUGAUGAACUCUGAAGCUUCAUGAAGUUUGGAGGUGUGUAGUGAUGAACUCUGAAGCUACAUGAAGUUUGGAGGUGUGUAGUGAUGAACUCUGAAGCUUCAUGAAGUUUGGAGGUGUGUAGUGAUGAACUCUGAAGCUACAUGAAGUUUGGAGGUGUGUAGUGAUGAACU